UCGGCUUAGAGUUUGAUCCUGGCUCAGAUUGAACGCUGGCGGCAGGCUUAACACAUGCAAGUCGAACGGUAUGAGUGCUUGCACUUGACGAGUGGCGGACGGGUGAGUAAUGUAUGGGGAUCUGCCGAAUGGAGGGGGACAACAGUUGGAAACGACUGCUAAUACCGCAUAAUGUCGCGAGACCAAAGCGUUUCGACGUACCAUUUGAUGAACCCAUAUGGGAUUAGCUAGUAGGUAGGGUAAAGGCCUACCUAGGCGACGAUCUCUAGCUGGUCUGAGAGGAUGACCAGCCACACUGGAACUGAGACACGGUCCAGACUCCUACGGGAGGCAGCAGUGGGGAAUAUUGCACAAUGGGGGAAACCCUGAUGCAGCCAUGCCGCGUGUAUGAAGAAGGCCUUAGGGUUGUAAAGUACUUUCGGUAAUGAGGAAGGUGACUAUUAACGUAGUUAAUUGACGUUAAUUACAGAAGAAGCACCGGCUAACUCCGUGCCAGCAGCCGCGGUAAUACGGAGGGUGCGAGCGUUAAUCGGAAUGACUGGGCGUAAAGGGCAUGUAGGCGGAUGAUUAAGUUAGGUGUGAAAGCCCCGGGCUCAACCUGGGAAUUGCACUUAAAACUGGUCAUCUGGAGUAUUGUAGAGGAAGGUAGAAUUCCACGUGUAGCGGUGAAAUGCGUAGAGAUGUGGAGGAAUACCGGUGGCGAAGGCGGCCUUCUGGACAGUACUGACGCUGAGAUGCGAAAGCGGGGGGAG
rnacentral:rRNA from 1 species